GGGUUCGAUUCUGGCUCAGAUUGAACAUGGCAGGAUGCUUUACACAUGCAAGUCGAACGGCAGCACGGACUUCGGUCUGGUGGCGAGUGGCGAACGGGUGAGUAAUGUAUCGGAACGUGCCUAGUAGCGAGGGGAUAACUACGCGAAAGCGUAGCUAAUACCGCAUACGCCCUUCGGGGAAAGCGGGGGACCUUCGGGCCUCGCACUAUUAAGAGCGGCCGAUAUCUCGGAUUAGCUAGUUGGUGGGGUAACGGCUCACCAAGGCGACGAUCCGUAGCUGGUUUGAGAGGACGACCAGCCACACUGGGACUGAGACGGCCCAGACUCCUACGGGAGGGCAGCAGUGGGGAAUUUUGGACAAUGGAAACCUGAUCAGCCAUCCCGCGUG
rnacentral:misc_RNA from 1 species